CAAGGCGGUCCUCAGAUCGGAUGAGGUCUGUCCCUCCUUUUCCAGCACCUCUUGGAGACUAAGGACCUCGACGAUCUUCUCCUCGAGGCGGGCGGCCCUGGCUAGGCGACCCUCCUCUGCUCGAACUGCCUCCUUCUUGGUGAUCUUCGCCGCCUCGAUAUUGGCGACCAGCUGGUGCCCAAUCUGCACGAAAGAUUGGGGAGUC
rnacentral:lncRNA from 1 species